CGCUCUUGUAAUAUAGCUCCUGCUGCAAAGUUUAUAUCCCCAACUGAUAUGCAUCUCCAUAGACUUUUUUGAACGUGUUUUUCAAUAUUGAUCUCGAGAGAGUUUGCUAAUUAGUACUCUGUAAGAAGAAGUUAAUGCUAAAACAUAAUAUUUAUAUAUUAACCUCACGGUCCUCACCUGAUGUAGUUUGCUAAUUAGUACUAUGUGGGAUCAAAUUAAUACUAAACAUAAUAUAAAAGAUAUUAAACUCACCUGACGUAGUACCCUUCUAGAUGGAAUAGUUUCACAUUGGAGUAUGCCAGAGAUCAUUUUAUAUUUGAUGAAAGAAACCAAAGUCAAAAGAAAGCAACAAUGUCAGAUCUGAUUACCACGCAACAAAAGCUAGGACUGAGUAAAUGCUGAUAAACAAAGAAAUGUUAGAAAAUGGGCUUUAAAAGUCUUACAUAUUAAAUCACUUUCCACACAUGAAAACGGCUACAUUAUCGUAGAUGUAAUUGUGGCAGCUACAACUCCCCACCAUCCACAUAUACUGGCAGCUACAGCUCCUCCUCCUUCGAUCAUAAUUUCCUCCAAGGAUGAAGUCUAGCCCAAGUGAAUCUCAAUCUUGAUCUACCAUAAUUUAUCUUAAGAACCAAGUCUAGAUUGAGCGAGUCACAACUACAUUCAAGUAUAACUACCCUCCAAAGGUUGUAGUUGAGCCCAAGUAAGUUUUGGCAUCGACCAACUAUGAUUUAUCAUAAGGACUGAGGAGUUGAGACGAGACUGUCUCAACCACGAUCGAGCAUGAUUUAUCCUCACGUCGAGUCCAACCCGAGUAACUCUCAAUUUUGUUUGAGCUUAAUUUUUUUUUUUUAAAGUUCGAGUCUAGCUUAAACCUAGACUUUGUUAGAGAACAUUUCAUUUAUGGAUUGAAACAAGCUUGAGCAAGUCUCGACCUAGUUCACAUGUAAGUCCAAGUGAGCCCAAACCAGGUUUGAGCAUAUUUCCUCUAAAAGUAAGUCUUGAUCUUGUUCAAUCAACAAAAAGGAUAGAGUCGAGCAUUAGAGACUCUCAACCUUCUUUGUUAAUUCAUCCUACGGUGAAGUCGAUGAGCACAAGCAAGUCUUGAACGUAAUUUGAGAAUAAUCCUUCUUAAAGAAGAAGUUCAGCUCGGGAAGUCUCAAAUCUUGUUUGAGCAUAUUCAUCCUAAGGGCAGAAUUGUGUCCAGUUGACUUCCAACACUAUUCAAGCAUAAAAGUCUUCUGGGAUAAGUCGAACGAAAAUAUGAAGAUUGUAUGAUUAAGAUCUAACUACUUGAUGUGCUUAAUUAUUAUGUUUUCUUUUUAUCACAAAGAUUUACCUUGUUGCUUCAAGUUCGACGAUGUAAUUGAGUUCUCGAACAGGUUAAGGUCUCAUUUGAUUGCACGAAAUUUUCCAUGGAACUUGGAAUUCGAACUCCAAUUUCCACUUUUGGCCUGUUUGAUUGACAAAAUUUUCCAAUGAAUUGAUUUUCCAUGAAUUUCUAGUACAACACCUUAAAGUAGAUUUUCCAUCUUUUAUUUUUCUAGGGGAUAGGUGGUUUUUGGUUUUCCACAUUUUUUUUUAAUUGUUAGCAAUGAGAACAAAUUUUAGGAACAAUUGUA
rnacentral:lncRNA from 1 species